AGGCAGCAUCUCAGGAUGAUAGCCUGGAUGUAUUGAAGGCAUCUCUUUUUCUGCCAAAUCAGAAAGUCCGAUCUCUAAAGCCAGGGUUAGCCAGACUAUAGGGUUUUAUUCUGGCUGCAGAAUAACUGACUGCUGUGGCUUUGCAAAGGGGGGCAGAAAAAAAAGUUAAGAGAGGAGAGGGAGUACGUGAGUCGUCCAGUGCAAUCUCUAUUGUUUGAAACUUACUUUUUAUCAGAAUUUGAAGAUGAAAACGGUUAAAAAAUGGCCAUACUUUAGUAACUAAUCAGCCUAAUGCUUUGCUUAUGAAAAUUUUACCAUCAUUAAUUGUUUCAUUUUGGAUUGAGAAAAAUGAAUCCAGAUAUAGAAGAAAGUACGGGAUGUUGGAAAAAGUACCUGUUAAACAGUGGACCAUCUAAUAACUAAUUUGCUAUGGUAUUGACUCUCUAGCACAUAGGUAGCCCUCCAAAAAAUCAUCCAGUUUUCUAAAUUAUGGAAAUUUUGUGGAAGACGUUGACCUGGAUUUUGAGCCUCAUCAUGGCUUCAUCGGAAUUUCAUAGCGACCACAGGCUUUCAUACAGUUCACAAGAGGAAUUCCUGACUUAUCUAGAACACUACCAGCUAACUAUUCCAAUAAGGGUUGAUCAAAAUGGAGCUUUCCUCAGCUUUACUGUGAAAAAUGAUAAACACUCCAGGAGAAGACGGAGUAUGGACCCUAUCGAUCCACAGCAGGCAGUAUCUAAGUUAUUUUUUAAACUUUCAGCCUAUGGCAAGCACUUUCACCUAAACUUGACUCUCAACACAGAUUUUGUGUCCAAACAUUUUACCGUAGAAUACUGGGGGAAAGAUGGACCCCAGUGGAAACAUGAUUUUUUAGACAAUUGUCAUUACACAGGAUACUUGCAAGAUCAACGUAGUACAACUAAAGUGGCUUUAAGCAACUGUAUUGGGUUGCAUGGUGUUAUUGCUACAGAAGAUGAAGAAUAUUUUAUUGAACCAUUAAAGAAUACCACAGAAGAUUCCAAACAUUUUAGUUAUGAAAAUGGCCAUCCCCAUGUGAUUUACAAAAAGUCUACCCUUCAGCAACGACAUCUGUAUGAUCACUCUCACUGUGGGGUUUCGGACCUCAUAAAAAAUGGCAAACCUUGGUGGCUAAAUGACACAUCUGCCUUUCCUUCUGCACUACCAAUUAACGGCACACAUAUCCACCACAGACAGAAGAGAUCCGUGAGCACUGAGCGGUUUGUGGAGACGUUAGUAGUGGCAGACAAGAUGAUGGUGGGCUACCAUGGCCGCAAAGACAUUGAACAUUACAUUUUGAGUGUGAUGAAUAUUGUUGCCAAACUUUACCGUGAUUCCAGCCUAGGAAACGUUGUGAAUAUUAUCGUGGCCCGCUUAGUUGUUCUCACAGAAGAUCAGCCAAACUUGGAGAUAAACCACCAUGCAGACAAGUCCCUCGAUAGCUUCUGUAAAUGGCAGAAAUCCAUUCUCUCUCACCAAAGUGAUGGAAACACCAUUCCAGAAAAUGGGAUUGCUCACCACGAUAAUGCGGUUCUUAUUACUAGAUAUGAUAUCUGCACUUAUAAAAAUAAGCCCUGUGGAACACUGGGCUUGGCCUCUGUGGCUGGAAUGUGUGAGCCUGAAAGGAGCUGCAGCAUUAAUGAAGACAUUGGCCUGGGUUCAGCUUUUACCAUUGCACAUGAGAUUGGUCACAAUUUUGGUAUGAACCAUGAUGGAAUUGGAAAUUCUUGUGGGACCAAAGGUCAUGAAACAGCAAAACUUAUGGCAGCUCACAUUACUGCAAAUACCAAUCCUUUUUCCUGGUCUGCGUGCAGUCGAGACUAUAUCACCAGCUUUCUAGAUUCAGGCCGUGGCACUUGCCUUGAUAAUGAGCCUCCCAAGCGUGAAUUUCUUUAUCCAACUGUGGCCCCAGGUCAGGUGUAUGAUGCUGAUGAACAAUGUCGCUACCAGUAUGGAGCAACGUCCCGCCAGUGUAAAUAUGGGGAAGUGUGUAGAGAGCUCUGGUGUCUCAGCAAAAGCAACCGCUGUGUCACCAACAGUAUUCCUGCAGCUGAGGGAACACUCUGUCAAACCGGGAAUAUUGAAAAAGGGUGGUGUUAUCAGGGAGAUUGUGUUCCUUUUGGCACUUGGCCCCAGAGCGUAGAUGGGGGCUGGGGUGCCUGGUCACUAUGGGGCGAGUGCAGCAGGACCUGCGGGGGAGGCGUCUCCUCGUCCCUAAGACACUGUGACAGUCCAGCACCUUCAGGAGGUGGAAAAUAUUGCCUUGGGGAAAGGAAACGGUAUCGCUCCUGUAACACAGAUCCAUGUCCUUUGGGGGCCCGAGAUUUUCGAGAGAAACAGUGUGCAGACUUUGACAAUAUGCCUUUCCGUGGAAAGUAUUAUAACUGGAAACCCUAUACUGGAGGUGGGGUAAAACCUUGUGCAUUAAACUGCUUGGCUGAAGGUUACAAUUUCUACACUGAACGUGCCCCUGCGGUGAUUGAUGGGACUCAGUGCAAUGCGGAUUCACUGGAUAUCUGUAUCAACGGAGAAUGCAAGCAUGUAGGUUGUGAUAAUAUUUUGGGAUCCGAUGCUAGGGAAGAUAGAUGUCGAGUCUGUGGAGGGGAUGGAAGCACUUGUGAUGCCAUUGAAGGGUUCUUCAAUGAUUCGUUGCCCAGAGGAGGCUACAUGGAAGUAGUGCAGAUACCAAGAGGCUCUGUUCAUAUUGAAGUCAGAGAAGUCGCCAUGUCAAAGAACUAUAUCGCUUUAAAAUCUGAAGGGGAUGAUUACUAUAUUAAUGGUGCCUGGACUAUUGAUUGGCCUAGGAAGUUUGAUAUUGCUGGCACAGCUUUUCACUACAAGAGACCAACUGACGAACCAGAAUCCUUGGAAGCUCUAGGCCCCACCUCGGAAAAUCUUAUUGUCAUGGUUCUGCUUCAAGAACAGAAUUUGGGAAUUAGGUAUAAGUUCAACGUUCCUAUCACUCGGACCGGCAGUGGAGACAGUGAAGUUGGCUUUACUUGGAAUCAUCAGCCGUGGUCAGAAUGCUCAUCUACUUGUGCUGGAGUGGCCACCAAUGCAAUUCUUUACCUCUGGCUGGGAGAGCAGGACAGUUGGCUUCCUUCAAAGCCAACACCCUUGCUGCUGCAUGGACUGGUGUCCAGAGACAAGAGGUGGUCUGUAAAAGGUUGGAUGACAACUCCAUUGUCCAGAACAAUUACUGUGACCCUGACAGUAAGCCACCUGAAAAUCAAAGAACCUGCAACACUGAGCCCUGCCCACCUGAGUGGUUCAUUGGAGACUGGUUGCAGUGUAGCAAGACUUGUGACGGUGGCAUGCGUACAAGGGCAGUGCUCUGCAUCAGGAAGAUCGGGCCUUCUGAGGAGGAGACACUGGACUAUAGCGGUUGUCUAACACACCGGCCUGUCGAGAAAGAGUCCUGCAACAACCAGUCGUGUCCACCCCAGUGGGUGUCUUUGGACUGGUCAGAAUGCACGCCCAAAUGUGGUACAGGAUUCAAGCAUCGGAUUGUUCUGUGCAAGAGCAGCGACCUUUCCAAAACAUUCCCAGCUGCACAAUGUCCAGAGGAGAGCAAACCCCCCAUCCGCAUCCGCUGCAGCUUGGGUCGCUGCCCUCCCCCUCGCUGGGUGAUGGGAGACUGGGGCCAGUGCUCUGCCCAGUGUGGCCUUGGACAGCAGAUGCGGACCGUGCAGUGUCUCUCUUACACGGGGCAGGCAUCCAGCGACUGUCCAGAAACUGCUCGGCCUCAAUCGAUGCAGCAGUGCGAAAGCAAAUGUGACAGUACCCCCACUUCUAAUACUGAAGAGUGCAAAGAUGUGAACAAAGUGGCUUAUUGCCCACUGGUGCUGAAGUUCAAGUUCUGCAGUCGAGCAUACUUCAGACAGAUGUGUUGUAAGACCUGCCAAGGACACUGACCCAUGGAAAGCCGGAGAGAGAGACUUGUCACUUCAUUGUGGAAACGCGUCCAUCACAGAGAGCCACCCAGAAGAAGAGGAUCGAUGUCCUUGCAGAUGCAUUACCCUGUGGAAAACGUAACCACUGGUCAGCCUUCGCUGACAGGAUUUCAAUAUUAUUUUAACUUCUGUGAAGUAGGAUUUAUUGAUCCAAAGUGCUGGACACAGUUAUUAGGAGGGGAUGCCAGAUUGGAGAGAUCCAAACAACACAGGGAGACUUGCUUACUGUGGAACGUUUGUGUUCUUUCGAGUAAAUCCAAUAGCCUGUUUACCUCCUUGGACCAUUAAGAUAAUUUUUAUUAUAGACUUAGCAAUGACACUGAAUCCAUUUGUAUUUAAAACUGUUUAAAAUGUAGCUGUUAUGACUUGGUCAACUAUGGAAGUAAAGAAGAUUCAGAAAUCUUAAGUCAUAGCUUAAAAAUAUUUACUAUACUUUAUCUCACGACAACGGCACCACCAUUUAAAUUCUAAAACGGGCUUUGAACUGUAAUUUAAGGAGCAAUUAUAAAUCAAAAGUAAUGAAAGUUCGUAUUAUUUUUCUUCCUCCUACUUAAUUUCCUUAGGAAUGACCCCCCCUUUUCUGAACACUGCUGUGAGCCAUAUAUAAACUAUAUUAAACUGAACAACAAUGAAGGACUUAGUUCGAAGCAGUGCAUCAGUUACUGCAGCUGUGCGAGUCUAUAAAUCCCGUGCUGCGAGACUGCGGCCAACUUGCCAUUGUGCGAGUAAAGCUGAGAUUUCCAUUAAAACUUUAAGAGAAAACCAUUUCGGUUUCAGGCAGAAGUCAGACCUGGGGUACAGUAGAGACUGAAGGACCAGGCCCUUUGCUGCCACCACACAGGAUGCCUCAGCUUAUAUUCGAGUCGCCCCAACUCACUCGUGUUUACAUCUACACCAACCACAGAAGGGCUCCUGCCCCACUGGCUGGCUGCGUGCACGUGGAGCUCACUGAGACAAUUCCAUGCAAAUGAUAGACUGGCUCAGUGACAACUAGACAGACCCUUUUGCUGACAAUUACGAUGGGUUCCAGAUGUCCCUUCUUUGAUAUGGCAGAAGGGCAUUUAUUUAUAUGAGAGCAAGUAUGUGUGUGUGUGCGGGCGCUUUUGAGUGUAUGGGUAGGUGAGUGUGCUUGCACAUAAGUGUGCUAUUUCUGUGAGUUUUAAAGUAGGCAAGGGAUAACAACCAAAGAAGAAAAACUCCUGACGACUAAAGAUCAUCAAGCCUAAUUUUAAUAGUCACUCAACCAAGUAUUUUAUACUUUUUAUGGAUACUCUGAAUGGCAAUUAAAUGUGAAACCCAGUUUCUUGGGCAAGUCAAAUUCUAGCAUCAAAUUCACCUAAAUUAAAUUGACUAGCUCAUAGUUUUCCUAUCCACAAGUUUCACAUCAUGCUCAUCAAAAAAUCUGACAGUGAGAUUUUUUAAAAAGAAGGAGAACAAAAGAGGGUACUUGUUAAUAUUCUGUACUUGAACACUUGUAGCUUGCAGCAGGCUCUCAGUGAAUGUGCUUUGUGCCCUACACGUGAGUCCACCAUGCUAUGCCAACACCUCAAACUCAAACCAACUGGCUACUUUGUAAAGAUACUCCUUGCAGUGAAAGAGUGUUUGGCUUAAAUCCAUCCCUGUGCUCUGAAACUCCACGUCAGGUGCAUCACAUAUACCAUGACCUAAUGUGGACAGUUAGGAUUUUUCCGAAAGGAAGAGAGAGACUCGCAGAUUUUAAAAACCAGCCUAAACUUCAGGCUUUCUGUUGAGAGUCAGCACAGGAUGUUCUUCGGCGCUCUCAGUCAUGGUCAUCUAUGUCUCAUCACUUGCUUUCUCUCCACCCACGACUCAUGUCCCUGAUCCUUCCAGAGAGAGCUAUUGAUGCAUGAGAGUUGUUGCCAGGAGCCCUCUCUCUGCUGCCCUCAGAAGCCCAGCCCGCUGCAAGUGCCAUCUUAGCCACUCAGUAAAGGGAAGGCAACCCCAGCACUGAAUUCCAUUGGUGCUUUGCAAAGAGCAGUUAACUUGGUGCUAAUGUGACCUGGUGAAAUAAACAAAAGAUGGGUGGUUUCUGUGGCAUUUUAGCAAUAGGUUUGCUAUCAGGAUCUGCUUUCCUGCAACAUAAAUAUCAGCUCAUGUCUUUAUUUGAAGAAGAUUUCUCACAUUACUAACGGCUGUUUGUUACCUCACCUGGAAACUAACAUUGCGAGGGCCGUCCCCCUGGGCACCAUGCAGCCCGGUGCUGGUGCUGGUGCUAGUGCUGGAGGAGGAGGGCAGCCAGUGUCCCUCAGGGGUGUGCAAGCUCCCGGGGGCAGCAUCAGAUGACCUUUGCACAAGGAACCAAGCACAGAGUGUAGCAGGACCAAACAUCUUCAGAUAGGCCCUGAAUUUCAACCUGAGUGGGGAAGAACAAAUCACAUUCCACAGCAUAUCACAAUACCGCUGCUAUUUUGUAGCCAACUACAUGGCUGCCUGACGCUGUUUUCCGAAAUAGUGACCAUAGAUCAUCAGCGGAGACCGAGCCAGGGUGCCAGGCCCUCCAAAAGUAGUGAACCGUAUCAACUACUUAGGGAACCCCAAGGAAGCUGGACCCAUGGCUGAGAGCAGUACCUGCUACUGGCAUACAGGCCUGCCAAAAACCAAAAGGUAGAUGUACCCAACUUAUUGAACCUCUUGAGACACAUAUGACUCCCCAAACAGUCCAUUUCAUUCGGAAUAUUUUUAUUUGAGUGAAUGUCACAUAGGUAUCCUUCAUAAUACAGAACGAAAUUACCUUUGUAUUAUUGUGAUUAGUUGUUGCUUAUUAUUUUAUACUCAGUAUUAAUGUGGUACACUGUUACUUUUUUUUUUUGGCUUUUGUAAAUUAUAUUCUAAUUUAUUGCCAUGUUUCCUAACACUUGUCCUUCAUUCUCCUGCUUGUAAUGAAAAUGAAAAGUCAUUAUAACACUUGAUGGAGUGAAAUUCCACACCAGGCACAGAUUUUUUUUUAACAUAGAUAAUUUAGUAAAAAUAA